rnacentral:sRNA from 1 species
GAAGUAAAAAUGUUUCUGCUUGCAACAUUUAACACCGCAAAAGGCAACAACAUUAUCGUUUUAAUCUCCUUUUAUUAAGAUGUUUCAGCACGAGUAAAGAUUCAGAGGAACAAAGCAAGGAUUCUAUUUUCGUCUGGAGCCCAAUAUCGGGAAAAAACCCACAAUAAAAGAGAAUGCAGAAGUAACUCAAAAAUUUCAAGCGAAAUUGAGUAACUUUGUACGAAGUUAUGAAAAGUUUUUUCACAAUAAAAAAAUCAGCUACA